GAAUGACGCACAUACCAAGUGUUAAAUCCUGGACCAAACCAAAAUAAAUACCACCAUCUCGUUGUACACUCUGAGAAGUUUCCAUUUCCAAGGCAUCAAGAUGAGGAUUACUCUAACCCUGACUGUCCUGCUUGUUGUGGCUGUGUGCAGUUCUGAUGCCUGGGGACGUUUUAGAGUGCGCAAAGUGUGGCGUAAAGUUAAACCCCAUGCAGUACAAGCAGCAAGAUGCUACGUCAUCACGAAAACUAUCGCAGCCGCUGCGGCACUGGGCAAAAGAAGUGUGGAUGAAUUUGAUACUAACACGGAUGGUGUCCUAGAUCAGCCAGAACUCGAGUCGUUCCUUAACACCAGGGAUGCAGUCAGAUUUCUUCAAUUGACUGGUAAUAAUAAAAUUGAUGUUGAAGAAUUUCAACAGGCACUGGACCAGGCGAGACGUUAUGAUUAAGUAAAUUUAAUAAUGGUUCAUUGCCCAAUACGUGAGAUGACGAAUCUACAAAAUUAUUGUAUCCUAAUAAAGCUCAGAAUAACG